rnacentral:rRNA from 1 species
AUUGAACGCUGGCGGCAGGCCUAACACAUGCAAGUCGAGCGAGCGGCGGACGGGUGAGUAAUGUCUGGGAAACUGCCUGAUGGCGGGGGAUAACUACUGGAAACGGUAGCUAAUACCGCAUACCAUCAGAUGUGCCCAGAUGGGAUUAGCGAGUAGGUGGGGUAACGGCUAACCUAGGCGACGAUCCCUAGCUGGUCUGAGAGGAUGACCAGCAACACUGGAACUGGGAAACGGUCCAGACUACUACGGUAGGCAGCAGUGAGGAAUAUUGCAAAAUGGGCGCAAGCCUGAUGCAGCCAUGCCGCGUGUGUGAAGAAGGCCUUAGGGUUGUAAAGAACUGUCAGCGGGGAGGCGUUACCCGCAGAAGAAGCACCGGCUAACUCCGUGCCAGCAGCCGCGGUAAUUC